GACGAACGCUGGCGGCGUGCCUAAUACAUGCAAGUGGGACGCAAGGGAACACACUGUGCUUGCACACCGUGUUUUCUUGAGUCGCGAACGGGUGAGUAACGCGUAGGUAACCUGCCUAUUAGCGGGGGAUAACUAUUGGAAACGAUAGCUAAUACCGCAUAAUAUUAAUUAUUGCAUGAUAAUUGAUUGAAAGAUGCAAGCGCAUCACUAGUAGAUGGACCUGCGUUGUAUUAGCUAGUUGGUAAGGUAAGAGCUUACCAAGGCGACGAUACAUAGCCGACCUGAGAGGGUGAUCGGCCACACUGGGACUGAGACACGGCCCAGACUCCUACGGGAGGCAGCAGUAGGGAAUCUUCGGCAAUGGACGAAAGUCUGACCGAGCAACGCCGCGUGAGUGAAGAAGGUUUUCGGAUCGUAAAGCUCUGUUGUAAGUCAAGAACGUGUGUGAGAGUGGAAAGUUCACAGAGUGACGGAGCUAC
rnacentral:rRNA from 1 species